rnacentral:rRNA from 1 species
GUACACACCGCCCGUCGCUACUACCGAUUGAAUGGCUUAGUGAGUCUCAUGGAUUGGGGUGCAUGGCUUCGGCUGUGCGUUCCGAGAAGUGAAUCAAACUUGAUCAUUUAGAGGAAGUGAAAGUCGUAACAAGGUUUCCGUAGGUGAACCUGCAGAAGGAUCA